UUAUAAAACCUGAGCAGCCAAAAAUG
rnacentral:piRNA from 1 species